AUCGCUUCUUGGCCUUUUGUCUAAGAUCUAGUGAAGUAUCUGUUCUUAUCAGUUGAAUAUCUGAUAAAUCCUCUAUCCAAGGACAAUAUAUUAAAUGGAAUUUGGAGCAGAGGGAUUGAAUAGGAGCUUGCUCCAUCCACCCCUUGCAUUGACCUGGUAUUGCAGUACCUCCAGGAAUGGUGCACUCCGC
ensembl:snRNA U2 U2 spliceosomal RNA